CUAUUUUUGUGAGGAGCCAUUCGCUUAAUAGCAGUACGUGGGUGACAAGCGUGUGAUGUAUGUCGACAAAUUGUUCCCACAGAUUUUAGACAGACUUCCACUAGAAUUACGUUAUCUAAAUCUAUUAGUUCUGUGGUUAAGGUCCCCGUAACAGUUCAUCAAAGUAUCUUGAAGUUGAAUUAGACUUGUGCAUUCAUAUCAUGUGGCAGGUGAUCAGCGAUAAUCUCUUACUCAACAGCUUGUACCACGAAACCAGAACGUACGGCACGUCCUCAAAAGUUACACUUAAGGGCAUUUGUGAACAUCAAUCCAAUGGACUUGGCGCUGUAAUUCAAAGGGUAAAUAACCAGCCUCCAUUCUUUUCAGCACCAAAUUCUAAUCCUGGCAUGGAAAAAUGAGCAAUCCAAAUGUUUCUGAUCCAUUCUACGAGGUUCGCUGAAUCGCCGGUUAGCUGACAAAAUGGAGACGAAGUCAAGCUGCUUGAACGUAUGGAAAUUCUCUCAGAGCGGCUUUUUUCCCUACGAGUGUCAGUCUACAUCGUCAAAUUCACAAGAACAGCUGCAAUGAAGCUGGAGCAACUCUGUAGCAUGCGUCCACUUCGAAAGCAAGAUGUACCUAGCCAGGUUCGGCUACCUAGAUCCGGCGUUGCAGAACCCGUCUUCCGGUGCUCUGAUCUCAGGCGAAUCUGUCCGUCGUGCCAUCAUCGAUUUCCAGUCUUUUGCCGGACUGAAACAAACAGGUAUUUUAGACCCGGAGACAUCGACGUGGAUGAGUAAACCGCGUUGCGGCGUUCGGGAUCGUGUGGGGACCGGUUAUUCGGCUCGCCGUAAGCGCUACGCUCUUCAAGGGAGCCGUUGGCGUGUAAAACAAUUGACGUACAGCAUUACGAAAUACCCGUCGGCUCUUAAGACUGCCGACGUGGAUCGCGAACUUGCCAAAGCUUUCCAGGUUUGGGAGGACGUGACCGAAUUGACCUUCGUCCACCUGAAGACUGGCAAAGUUCACAUCGAAAUCCGUUUUGAGUCAGGAGAACACGGAGAUGGUGACGCCUUUGACGGACCUGGUGGAACGUUGGCUCACGCUUACUUUCCCAUUUACGGAGGCGAUGCUCAUUUUGAUGAAUCCGAAACGUGGACCAUCAACUCUUACAAAGGAACGAAUUUGUUCCAGGUGGCUGCCCAUGAAUUCGGCCACUCGUUGGGACUCUCACACUCUGACGUCCGGACUGCUCUUAUGGCGCCUUUCUACCGUGGUUACGAAUCGAGUUUCAAACUGGACAAUGACGACGUCGUAGCCAUCCAGCAACUUUAUGGCAAGAAAAAGAAUGUGGCUGUGACCACAGAAACCAGUUUCCGACCCUUCCCGGGUAGGGCGACGACACCGUCGGUGACCUUCGACGAUGGCAACCGAGGCAACAGCGAGCUGUGCGGAAGUGAUGGAAAAGUCGACACCAUAUUCACGGGUCCCGAUAACAAAGCUUACGUUUUCAAAGGCGAAAAAUAUUGGAAAUUGGAAGCCGAGUCUGUAGCUCCUGGUUAUCCGCGUAGCAUCCGGGCUGAUUGGGAGGGCUUGCCCGGCAAUAUCGAUGCCGCCUUUACAUGGACAAAUGGCCGGACCUAUUUUUUCAAGGGUUCGAGGUAUUGGCGCUAUACGAAUUUCCAAUUGGACGCCGACUAUCCAAAAGAUUUAUCCGAAGGAUUCGCUGGCGUGCCGGCCAAUAUCGACACGGCGCUCGUAUGGAGCGGCAACGGCAAAAUCUAUUUCUUUAAAGGAAGCCAAUAUUGGCGGUUCGACCCACUUCAGAAGCCGCCCAUCAAGUCUACGUACCCGAAAGACAUCUCCAAUUGGGAAGGUCUACCCAACUCGUUGGACGCCGCAUUCCAGUUCACUAACGGCUACAGUUACUUUUUCAAAAACGGCCAAUACUGGCGGUUCAACGACCGCAGUUUCAAGGUGGACGAAGGCCAGCCAGGUUAUCCACGACCGGUUGGUAAAUGGUGGUUUGGAUGUGACGAAAUCAAUUUCAAAACAGCCAGCAGGCCAGGAGGCUCCAAACUGGGUGUUGAAAGACCCCACGCCAACGACCGUCAGGCUGAUCUGCUCGAUGCUGGUCUGACCCAACCGGAUAACGACGUUGACAACUCGGUGGGCCAGGUGGCGACAACUUUACUGCUAACGGAUUCAUUCCAGACGGCCGCCAGUGACGCCACCACUUUAUCUCUCAGCAACUUGAUUCUAUUCCAUUUGCUGGCGUUCAUCAUUCAACGGAUAACUCAUCAAUAAUAAAGCAGUUUCAGUUUGCGUGCCUCUUGUGUCUCCCCGCAUCAAGUUUUGCGUUAGCGUAUGAAUACAAAAGCCAAACCGAUAGCGCUGCACACAUCUACAGACUGGGUUGUGUGCGCUGUCUAAACAGAGGCGAUAGAAGAGAUGAACUGUCUCUUGUGUUUUGCUGCUUGUGUAUAUUGAAUGAUGCGUAUUGUGUGUCUAUUUUAGGGACCAGUGCUACACACACAGACGCUUGAUCUAGCGAGUGUCUGUCCGCAUUACGAUUGUUCUCUCAUAAAUGAUCGAUCGACUACUGGUCCCUUUAUUUUUUGUUUCGCCCGCUCACCCCUUACAGUACCCAUUGAGCAUGUGUGAGUGUGUGUGUGUGUGUGUAUACGUCUUGUGUUUUUGUUUGGGGUAGUUGCUUUCAUUUUUUUGCCUCUUGUGUGCCCCGCGCACUUGUAUCUCGAAUGUAUUGUGUAUAGAACUGUAUAGAACGUCUGCACGAAUGAUUGAGCAUCUCCAUUUACACGGCUGUCUCGCCACUGCAGUGCGCAAUCCUUUAAAAGUUAAGUGAGGUACAUUAGGAGCACUAGAGAAAAACAGGGUUAGAGCGCGUGAAUUGUGUAAUUGUGUCGAUGAUCUAAUAUUUUUGACCCAUAAAAGAACUCUAGUUGUUUGUUAUGACGGCGCCAUUUUCAUAAAUAGGUUUUUCUUUUUUUCAAUUGAGUGUAUCUGUAUGCCAUAAAGAAAUUGAACGACUGCCCUUUUAUCAAAGUCAUACAUGUUGUUGGGUCCGUGUGGUUUGAAUGUUGCGCCGGAAGUUUCGGAUGAAAUGUAGUCUCGUUUGUAUUUCCGUUCUUCUCUUUCUUUUUCUUUUCAAUUUUUUUUUUCUUUUCUGUUAACAAAAAGAGAGAAAAAGAAAAAAAAAAAGGUCGCAAUGGAUUCAUUGAGUUGGAAUCCGUCGCUUGUAACCGUGACGAUGAUGAUGUCAUACGAAAAAUACAUGAAAAGAACGAAUAUUUAUGCAUUCAACUACAUCACAUACACUAUGCGCGCGUGUAUAUAUAGUAGUAUACACACAGUCUAUCAAAAGCAUUCACCCUGAACAACAACAGCCCCCUCCCCCCUCCUACCAGAAGGGACUUAAAAAAAAAAGAAGAGAAUCAAGAGUUUUGUCUAUUGAUUGCGGUGUGACGGUGACAGAUGCACACAGCAUCGCCCCCCUUCUCUUGUACAUAUAUUUCCUGAUGCUCUCUCUGAAAAAGAAAAAAAGAGAACCCUCUACUUAUUCAAUUCGUCGUCUUUCUACCCUCCUCCCCCAACUGGCAUCUCGAAUGUUUUGAAAAAAAAAAAGGAUUUAUAUCGUCAGCCGAGCAUCACAUACUGUUGUGCCCAUUAGUCUGGUAGUGUGUGUGUGUGUGUGCAUACUCAAAGUCAUCCAUCUGUCUAUUAUUUUACGAGAAAAGAUAGCAAAGGCAGCGCAUAAAUCAGUGUACGGUCCAGAAGCUUUGAUUCACGAAGCAAAUCGUGAUUAAAACGCAGCAAUUUGCCAUCGGAUAUACACCAGCCUUGCAGUCCAGUGUUUUUAUCGACGGAUGUUUCUCAAGAGGCCGAGCCCGGAUGCAAUCGGCCGACACUGAGCUGGAAUUAAUUGACAUUGGGCCCUGCUCAGCUAUUCCACUGUCCUUGGCAGUGAUACGGUCGAAUUGCACUUUGCCUAUAGGAGCUGCUAGCAACGUCGAAAAAGAAAAAGGACCCAAAUGAAAAAGAGGAAAUAGACGAUCGGAUUUAAAAUCCUUUUGCUGUUUGGAGAACUGCUAGAAAUGUAAUAUUAGGAAAGAGAUCAACUAUCAUCGUAUAAAAGGGCCAAAAAGUCUUUGCACAGUCUCUCGUUUGCACAUCAGCCCUUCUCCAACAAGGAAAAACAACUUGAGCUUUAACUCGUCCGGAAUGUACGAGGCGCCUUAACAAACAACUUCCCAUUUUUCUUUUUUCUUCUUCUCCCGUUUGUAUAUACAUAUAUAUAUAUAUAGAACGCGAACCAAUAGAGCCUUUCUCUUGGUAUGCUAUAUUAUCAACUGUAGUGCCAGUUGCUUUUAUAGCAAUAUUCUUUUUCUUGGACGGGCCGGAAAACAGCCAUCAAGGACUUGAAAGAAAGAAAAAUGAUUUGCCAAACAUCGGACGGGCGGCAACAUGUGAGCAGCACUCUCUCUCUCUUUGAUGGAUCAAUAUUGAUACAGUCGUAUACGUUAUAUUAUUGUUCGGUUGAUGUGCAUAGACUGUGUUGUGUAUACAUAAGAAGAAAGGAGAACAAAAAAAGGGGGGUGGGGGAAAGAGUGGCGUAUAUAAAACACGAUAUGAUCCAUCAACAGCAGCCUUAUAUCAAACAGCUCUCUUAGCACCACUUUGAAGAGAACGAAGCUGCUGUUGACACUUGGUGACUUUCACUACACCGUGGCUACCCUCUUGUAUUUGAAUAUUUCAUCAGUGUAUGCAUAAGAUUUCACUAUUUUUCAUGCCCCUCCCCCCACUUUUUUUUUUCUUCUUCUUCGUGUACAGAAUAUUUGUUCGUGACGUGCGUGAUUUUUUCUAUCAAUAUUUGAAAGGACAAUCCCUUGUAGAUCCGUCUGGGCUUGCCCUCUUUUUAAGAAAGGAACAGCCAUGAUAAACAUAAGGAUGGACCUAUCAUGUACCCCCCGACACUUUUACGCAAUAACACUUGACAAAAUAGUCUGGCUCACAUUUUCUCUUUUUUUUUCUUUUAUUAUUAUUAUUAUUCAUUUUUUUUUUCCCGGAUCACGUGUUGAACAGUUUUCAAGAAGCGCGAUAUUUUCAACGAUUCAUUCGAGUCAAUAAACAAUCGGGUCGAGCUGUGUGUACCUUUCUCUCUUUGAAUCUUUCAGACGUUAUUCGCUUUUUCCAAGAAAUGUUUCCCAUUUCUUUUCGUUUGUUGGCUUUAAAUUUCUUAUUGCAAAAAUGUGAGACGUAUUAAAAACAACUGGGGCGGACCCAAUUUCUCCGAGACCCCUCCAGUCAUUAAAAACAAAAAAAGACACGAUGGAACUGGAGGCGUUUCACGAUUUAUGGCACCAAUAUAUUCAAAAAGAAAAGAUCCGGGUUUGUUUUUUUUUCUCUGUUUUUUUCGCAAAUCUGUAGUCACUGUUAGCUAUGCUAUAAAUAUACACAUGUACAAGGCAUAUCACGGUAUAUACGAUAGCUUAAAAAAGGAUAUUAUAUUCAGAGAGUAACCGACGAACAAGAUCGGCACAGAACGAGAUUGGGCUCGGGCUAAAAGAGCGGCGCAAGGAGGGCGGGUCGACGGCCGUAGCACACAAUCCCCUUGAUAUUCGCAGUCGUCAUUACUUAUUCUGUCCGCCGGCCGCUUUGUACACACAAGCUUUUACUUGUAACAAGACGGACACGAGUGAAUUCAAUUAGAAGGAAAAGAGAUCCGGCUACUCUAUAUAGAGCGGAGCAAGGCUAACCCCGUUUUCCAUUAUCAUUGAAAGUGAGGAAUACAUUACAUGGUCUUGUAACGACAUAAAUGCGUAAAUAAAUAGGGCACACACACACACACAACAUACACGCGCCCGCUCGCCUUAUUCUCUUGUUUGGUCGCUUAUAAUGUGAACGCAAUCCAUCUGUGCUGCCAACUUCCCUUCUUCCGUCUCCCUAUUUUUUUUCUUCUUCUUCUUUUCGUUUUGUCUGCCACCCCCCCCCUUACUACUACCAUACAGACACAGGAUUGCAAUCCAAGUUGGUGUUGACCCGAACUUUUUUUUCUUUCGAUCUAUCCGGCUGGCAGUCUGUUCCGCACCCCCCCCCCACGCCUUUUUCCCACCUCCGCAAAAGUCUCAGCCACAUAUGUUGUUUUUAUAUAGCGUGAUGUUGGAUCAUCAUUUAUAUGAACCCUCUCUCCGUUUUGUCCACCCCUCCCAACGCAUAUCGCUGAAUAGACAUAAUGGCUGAUUCAUCAGCUGUGAUAAUCCCACUGGCCUUAAAAGCUCCGCCCUAACGGAUCCAUCGUUUAUUGGUGCUGUUUUGUCUGCGUGUCAAUAAUUAGGGCUGAUCCUCUACAUCCCCCCACCCCCUCCCGUCUGUCGUCAGAAUUCAUCCGAGCAUUUAAACACAAUAAAUGUUGAUUGCAAUUCAGCGAUGCUUUAAUCGCAAACGAAGGCCGGAAUAAAGACGAGGAAGAAACUUGUUCUUAUAUUUUACAUUCGAGAUAAUAGACGUUAAUGUACACAGAGCCUAAUAAAAGUUAAAAAAAAAAAUAAAUAAAACUUUUUUUGUGUAACCCGAGUUGAUUGACUCGUUUCAGUUUGACUUGUUUAACACUAAGCGCACCCGGCACAUGUAUAGAGACAUCACGACGCUUUUGGGCCCCCCCCCCCCCUCAGAAAGUUCACUUUGACAAGUCUUGUUAUACGACGAUGCUGACUCGAGGGAGGUCUGAUUAUGCAAAUUGUUUCUUAUACGCAAAAAAAAAAGAAAGGAAACUUUUGUUGAACUUUUUGGAAAAAGAAGGGCAUGCCGGGCGAAUGGGGUCGGCCAUCAAGUCGGCGGUAGAACACGGCUUAAUCAAGUCACAUUCGUCACGAAGGUCAGGAAGUUGUCGCCCACUUUGCCUUUCCCCCUUUUAUUUUUCUUUUCAAUCCCUUCCUAUUUUAUUCACGUCUACUAGAUAUAGUCAAUCUGCGGCCACCCUCCCCUUUCGAUUUUUAAAUAUUCUAUCCGCGCUGGUGAUUUAAAACGAAGGGCGGGAUUCAAUCAUUCAAAAUGGCCCACACCCUGCGCCAUUGGAACAGGGCGAUGAACUCUUUGGCUGCGAGGGCCUCCUCUAAAAUGUAUACUGCCGUGCGUCUGUCUUCUGAUGAAUAGAAUCUUCAAUAAGAUGCUAAUAUUACGAAUAUAAGGCAGAUCCCAACAAUUUAGUGGGGAACUGCCCUUUGAAUCGAUCGAGCCUUUAAAGACUAGAGUUAUAUACAGCGCGCCAAUAUAAUACGCGUUUGAACCAUUGGAUGCUAUCCUCAAUUGUCAAUCUUUGCAUGUGAAAGAAAUUCUUUAUGUUCCCCCCCUUUUUUUUUGUUCAGACAUUUGUCGGGGAAAGACGUCUCUGUUACUGCGGUUGGUAUUUAAAAAAGAAAAGGGCAAAUGUCUUUACGGGAAAGAAAAAGCCGUGCACGUCGAGAAAAGAAUUGAAUUUUGAAAUGUUGGGGGCCAAAUAAUAAUAAAAAAAAAAAGGACCUGUCUUUCGGUUGAAUUGCAACACAAAAUUCGAUAGCUGUCUUGUAUGUGUAUAGAAAUGACGCAUUCCUUCGAUUUAAAAAAAAAAAGUGAUGCCCAAAUUGAAAGGCAGCUUGAUGGGACUUUUAUAGGAACCCGAGCGGAAACAAGAAGAUUACAACAAAAAAAAAAGGGGGGGGGGAGAAAGAAAUCAAUGUGUGAAUGUUAUAUGUAUUUUUUUAAAAAAAGGGUAGGCAACAUCCAAUUAUAUUGGACUGCUCUAUUGGUUUCCGGCAGGCGUUCAAAUCAUUUGAUUCCCACUUUGAUUCACAUUUCAAUUGGUAGGCUGUCAACCGUCUCUUCAAAGGCGUUUUUUUCUUUUUCUUUAUGCCAUUCUUUUUUUUUUUUUAUUGCUGCUUUAACCUAUAAAGAGGUUACACUGUGUUGUAUAAAUGUCUAUAUUACAAGUAACGUGACGCCAAUCAACUUUAAUCUAUACACAAAAAUACAACAGAAAAAAAGAGAUCCAUAGCCUAUACUCGUCAUGUCCGCACAGUUCAUCGAAGAACGUCCUAAUUGGAUGGGAUAUCGAGUUCGACGGAAAAGAGGAAGACUGCGCGGACGUUGCCGAAAACAAGGGCGAGACAAACAACAAUUUGUUUUCACAGUUAUUGCUGAUUGUGCACUGUAUACUGUGUACUUGAGGAUCCAUGUUGUUUGUUGUCUUUAGCUCUCCCCCCUCACGUCCCAGAUUCAUCUUGUUAUAGUAACUAACGUCGAAAGGCGACACCCAGUCGUCAAAGGGUCGGCAAAUUUAGCUCAUCAAAAGUGCCAAGAUUUCAACAAAAAUCAAUAAAGGCUCCGAUAUACGAUUGAAUGAGACGCCAUCACUUUCUAUGGCUAAAAACAUAUACACGCGUGUGUUGUUUGAUUCAAUAUUUUCGUCGAGCAUUUCGAAUUGAUUGAAUAAUUGAAUUUGUUUCAAUGCUCACAAUUGGACUAUGUCUGUGACAUGUAAUGCAUCCAGCCUCGCUGUUUACGGUUUUAGAAGCAUCUCGUUGUUUGACAAACGCAGUCAGCACACAGCCAUGAUAAAGUGAAGCGAAAAGACGUGCGUAAUGUUUCCGGUGACUGAUUCUUCGACCCGAACGUGAUUUCAUCACAAUUCGUCCAGUCGUCAGAGUGUGCUGUGUGUGUGUGCACGUUGUACAUAAAGAGCUAAUUAAAUAGAGUUGCAUUUGACGUAUAUAGGACUUUACGUGAGAGGUUUGCUAGAAAAUUAACGCGCCUCUUCAAGCAAAAAUUGACUUCAAACGACAGGCAAAAAGUCGUCCCGCGUUACAAGUGCGUGUCAUUUUUUUGUCUUUUUCUUUCUUAGUACAUCACCCCAGAUGAUGCCUGACGUAUACGUAGGUUCUCUCUAGUUUGGCUAUAUACAUACACGAUGGGCUCUAACGUAUUUACGUUAGCAGCAGGUUCACUCAACUGUGAUGUUCUUGAUUGGCUGAUUUGCGAAAAUGGAAACGUUUAGCAGAGGUUAUUCGCAAUGUGGUACAGGCUAGCAUUUGCAACGAUGCAAUUAUUAUAGCGAAUUGUGAAGGCUCCUCGUUAUCUUGAUUAUUAAAUGGCCUUUACGAUGUUUAGAUGUUUCAUUCUAGUUAAGAAUUUUGUAUAUACGAGUGUCUGUGCUGUGGUUCGAAAAGGUAUCAGCUCUUUCGGGUUGGUGGUAUAAUUCCUCGACUGAUGCCACGAGAGCGCCCCACACUGCACCGGUAAAAUUAAAAUUGAUCUAUUUUGUAAUCAAUAAAAUGACGAAAGGUAUAAGAAAGAGAGGAACUGAUAAGAGUUGCAUAACCAACGCAAUCAAAGGAUUUCCCAAAUUUUCGUGAGAAAAUUUUAAUUAGUUGUCAAAGUAAAACGUGAAAAGAACACUGGAAAUGCGGGUACCUCCUGUACUACUGACUAUCUAAAUUUCGUAUAGCGUAACCAGAAGAAAAAAAUUAAGCAAGAAAAGAAGGUUAUAGUGACUUGUAACAAAAGGUAAUAUGGCUUAAUAACAAACAGACAAAGAAAAACAAACAAAUCUUUAUUUUUAUUAGUUCUUCUGGUUGGAACGCUUGCGAAAUUUGAAUAAAAAAACCGUCAGCUGUACGUUGAACAAUAGAAACAGAAUCGUAUGUUUCCGGACUUGAUGUAAAUAUUGUUAUAUACCUUACCCACCUUAUUAUAUACGUAAACGGUCGGAUCAUUAGCCGUUCCGGCUUGUUCACGUAAACUCUUCCGUUUGCUGGUUGGUGUGGAAAUGUUUACAUUUUGGGGACACACCCAGUUGAUUCGCACACAUUGGAUCCUUGCCAAUAAACGAUGAACCAACGUCGCUUUCUAAUAGUAACGCAACAACAUUAGAAUAUAGAACACCGACUGAUUUUUUCAACGCUGUGGGAAACACGAACGGUAAAAUUCUUUCAAAAUAGAAAUUCUUUUUGCUUUCAGCAAAAGAAAUUGGCAAACGUUUUUUCUUGAAAUGAUUGUAUAAAUCGUUGACGACAUGCACGACCGAAUUGUUUAUCUCGUUCUCCAGGCUAACAGGUGGUUUGUCCAAGUUUACAAGCACACCACGGAAUUGGGGUUGUAUAUACAUUUUCAUUUCUAUGUCAAAAUGAAAUAAGAUGACAAUUGAAGAAAAACGUUGUUUCAACCGUGGAAGCAGAUAAAAGACUCGGACUUUAUCGCUUCAUUUCAAUAGCAGUAAUCUUAUCUUGUUACAGCAAAAAAACUGGAACAACACAAAAAUGUUUUCAGUUGCCGAGGGGCAACGUGCAUUUCAAUACGGUACCAUCCCGGACGUUUUCGGAUAAGAUUUAUGCGGAACGCUUUUGUAUGUAGAUAAGCUUUGUGUACAUCAAUGUGAAAUAAGACACCUUACAAGUGUUGUAUUACUAGCCCCAUACGCAUCGAGAUUUAAGAGAAAGAGCCAGGAAAGCAUAAAGGUCGGUUGCAGAUUACGCAUAAACCAAUUGCAUAACGAUCGGAUAUUUUCCAAAUGAGCUGAGAAAUUAGAAAUCUGCAACAAGGACGUUAUGUGGCGAGUCAUUUCGCAAUGUGACGCGUAUUACAUGCAAACAUUUGUAAAUGGCUUCCCUUUUCGGAAAUGUUAAUGGUAAUCGCCUGUUGGGGCCAACCAUUUUUGCUUAGCGAUUAGACAUCCAGGUAAAACACCGUCCCCCGUUUUCAACGUGCCACGAAUAAUUUGCCUGUUUUGAUAAUUGAUGCAAUUCGAUAUUUUGAUUAGCAUGCGUUUAUUUACUAAACUAAAUUUUAAUCGCAUUGUCACGUCUUUGUCCGCCAUCAUUAGUAGUCCAGCGACCAAACUAAAUCACCAUGCGUUUUUGUUUAAGAAACGGCUCAUUAAGAUUAAUACAGUGGUAGCUGCAUUAGUUUUCAUCUGGCCACUGUAUAAAAGAAAAGGAAAAAAAAAUAAAACCGUGAAGCCGGUUGUCAAGGUGACCUAGAUUCUUUAUAGUGGUCCACACAAUCGCUGAUCAGCAUAUGUUGUUUUCGAAUACCCAAACAACCACGAAACAGCAGCAGUGCAUCAACAAACAUUGUGAAGAACAGCUCAAACUUAUACUAAAUCUUUGCAAUUAUCGGGCCUUUUAGAUCUCUAAUGCGCCUAUAUAAAGUCCCCUCCCCAGAAAAAUGCGUCAGCUUCAACUACAUGCUAAAGUCUAUCUAAAGCUCUCACAUUAACAAUAAGCUUCAGCAUUUUCUCCCUGCAUCUGUGAGCUACAGCCACGAUCGAAAAGCAAAGGACCUCUUUAUCAAAAAAGAUCACGUACAAAAGAUAUUUUUUGUUUCCAAAUUCAUAAGAAAACUACAAGCUGAUGGUGUGCAUAUACACAUCUAUAUAGUACUUUGCACUUGUGAAGGAUAUACAGCCGAAACGCUUCCUUUGAAAAAAAACAACAGUCAGCGUGUGUGUCCUCACGUGCGCAUCGUGCAUAUAGAAAAGCGCUUCAACGUCUAAUUAAUUCCCAAAAGAGGGCUUAUGUAUAUACGAGUUAUUAUUUGCCAGCCAAGUUGGGCAAGAAACAUCCAAGGAUUCUUCUCUGUGUGUACAUGUGCCCGCACUAGAAAUCAGAAGGGGGUCGUUGAUGUCUCUGGGGUUCAAACAUGCAUAUAGUCUCUUGCCAAUAAUCCACCAGCAACAGUUUGAUACAAGUGUAAAUCAAGCCUGAUUAUCCUUUGUAUAUACGUAAUUAAAAACGGAUAGCAUGUCAUUCAACUGUACGAAGACUAUAUAGGCUUAUAUACGAGUUUGAUUAACAAAACUGACAAAUCCUCUCUACGAGUAAUCCUGUUGUCUUACCGCAUAAUCGUACGUGUAAGCGUUAAUAAGAAUACAGGCCUCCAUUUGUUUUUCAUUAAAGACAUUGUAAAUCAUAGCCAACGCGAAAGACCCGCUCUGAUUAUUGCGUAUAUCAGCCGGUGAUGACCAUAGAGACUGCAACGCCAAGUAAUGAAUAAUUAGUCCCGUUUCCCCCAAGAAUCUUGAUUGCUUGUGACGAGCAAGGUUGGAGGAGGGGGGUGGGGGGACAAUGUUUUUAUUUCGUCCAUGUGUUGGCUAUAGUUCACCGAGUUGAGGACACAUUUUGGCUUGUAAGCUUCGUACAUGAAGCGAGACUUGGGGCAACUCCAGAUAGAACUUCCGUUUUCCUCCUUCCGGCCAUGAUUUUCCAGUACGGACCACAUUAUCGUUUUGGACGACGUAUUAAGCCAUAGACGCUGUGAAGUAUCAGCUUCUGAAUAUGUUCGUUCUUCAAAUUAUCGACUUUUGGUUGGCUGUAAAACUUCAAGAAAGAAAUCGACAUUUACUUCUUCUUUUAACGUCGUCUGCACAAUUUUGGUAAUUGGCCAUCGUUCAGGUCAGUCGAUCGUUUAAUAUUGAAAUUUUGUUACAGUAUUUACCAUUAGAAGUCGACGUGCCAUCACAAACGAUGAAUCGAUUUAUUUUGACGAAAUACAUCAAAUGCCAUCCUUUUUGGCAUGGUAUAAUGACCCUUUGUUAUUCAGGUCGGUACCAGGACAUCACAUUUAGAUUCAUGAAAAAUCUACACACAUAAGUUGAUUAUGCCAUUUUCUUUUUCCAACACAUGACGUAAGCGCCAGCGCAGACGACGUUUGCAUUUCCCACCAGGCGCCGCCACUGUCACCCCAACCUCUAGGCAUUGUUCUGGUCGAGGCGCCCAACUUCGGCGGGCAUUCCAUAGUUGGACGGCAGAGGGUCAACAACACGCGUUGCAACUGCUCCAUCAGUCUUAUAUUCCCCCCAUCGUGGUUUUUCUCAAAAAAACAAAAUACUCUUGUCUUUUCACAGCACUAGACAAGUCGAAACUUGCUGUUCAAGUGCACGUGUGUUUUUUAUAAUUUCCUUCGACUGUGGUUUUCGAUUCAUCAUUUCGUUUUCUCGAGGUCGUGUGUGUGUGCGACAAGAGUGAAAGUGUGAAUCACCAGUAGUUACGAACAAAACGAAAGUCCAAUUGUGUGGUCACCAGGGGAGAAAGGUACUUUCAGUGCUAAACAUUUCGUUAUCAGCCAUAACGAAAAAAACAAACUCGAAACGACUGAAACUUCAUCAACAAUCACCUGGCUCGAAGCGUUUUGAAGAGGGAAAAAAAAAACAAAAAACACGUUAAAGGAAAUUAUGAUAUCGUUUUUGUGGUGAGUGAGUGUACGACAAGUCGUUUGGGAAGUUAUUAUUACUAUUCCCCCUGCACUCCCCCCCCCGCCAACCGUUACUUUAUUGUGUUUUUCUUGGCCCGGAAGGUGUGUUUCUUUCUUAUUGCUCAAACGACAACAACAAACAGCGAGAAAAGAAGAAAAUCUUGUUUUGUUGUUACUCUUCACCAAAAACUCCAGUGUGGGUCUGUGUGUGUUGGCCGAGAGCCCUGGAUCAUCGCUCACG